rnacentral:snoRNA from 1 species
AGUUCCAUGAUUUCAACCAAUCAGAUUGGUUUUAUACGCUAUUCUGAUUGAAGCUGUUGAAACAUAAGACUUGUGAGAGCU